UACGUAGGGGGCAAGCGUUGUCCGGAAUCAUUGGGCGUAAAGAGCGCGUAGGCGGUCCGGUAAGUCCGCUGUGAAAGUCAAGGGCUCAACCCUUGAAUGCCGGUGGAUACUGUCGGGCUAGAGUCCGGAAGAGGCGAGUGGAAUUCCUGGUGUAGCGGUGAAAUGCGUAGAUAUCGGGAGGAACACCAGUGGCGAAGGCGACUACCUGGCCUGUUCUUGACGCUGAGGCGCGAAAGCUAGGGGAGCAAACGGGG
rnacentral:rRNA from 1 species